rnacentral:rRNA from 2 species
CCCGUUCUACGAUGUCGAUUUGGAGGUUGUGCCCUUGAGGCGUGGCUUCCGAAGCUAACGCGUUAAAUCGACCGCCUGGGGAGUACGGCCGCAAGGUUAAAACUCAAAUGAAUUGACGGGGGCCCGCACAAGCGGUGGAGCAUGUGGUUUAAUUCGAUGCAACGCGAAGAACCUUACCUACUCUUGACAUCCAGCGAAUCCUGUAGAGAUACGGGAGUGCCUUCGGGAACGCUGAGACAGGUGCUGCAUGGCUGUCGUCAGCUCGUGUUGUGAAAUGUUGGGUUAAGUCCCGCAACGAGCGCAACCCUUAUCCUUUGUUGCCAGCGGUUCGGCCGGGAACUCAAAGGAGACUGCCAGUGAUAAACUGGAGGAAGGUGGGGAUGACGUCAAGUCAUCAUGGCCCUUACGAGUAGGGCUACACACGUGCUACAAUGGCGUAUACAAAGAGAAGCGAACUCGCGAGAGCAAGCGGACCUCAUAAAGUACGUCGUAGUCCGGAUUGGAGUCUGCAACUCGACUCCAUGAAGUCGGAAUCGCUAGUAAUCGUGGAUCAGAAUGCCACGGUGAAUACGUUCCCGGGCCUUGUACACACCGCCCGUCACACCAUGGGAGUGGGUUGCAAAAGAAGUAGGUAGCUUAACCUUCGGGAGGGCGCUUACCACUUUGUGAUUCAUGACUGGGGUGAAGUCGUAAAAGGAGAACACAA